CAGCCCUAAACGAUGCGCGUUAGGUGUAUCGGUGACCACGAGUCACCGAGGUGCCGAAGGGAAACCGUGAAACGUGCCGCCUGGGAAGUACGGUCGCAAGGCUGAAACUUAAAGGAAUUGGUGGGGGAGCACCACAACGGGUGGAGCUUGCGGUUUAAUUGGAUUCAACGCCGGAAAUCUUACCGGGACCGACAGCAACAUGAAGGCCAGGCUGAAGACUUUGCCGGAUUAGCUGAGAGGAGGUGCAUGGCGUAGUCGU
rnacentral:rRNA from 1 species